rnacentral:rRNA from 1 species
GAUGAACGCUGGCGGCGUGCCUAAUACAUGCAAGUCGAGCGAACGGACGAGAAGCUUGCUUCUCUGAUGUUAGCGGCGGACGGGUGAGUAACACGUGGAUAACCUACCUAUAAGACUGGGAUAACUUCGGGAAACCGGAGCUAAUACCGGAUAAUAUUUUGAACCGCAUGGUUCAAAAGUGAAAGACGGUCUUGCUGUCACUUAUAGAUGGAUCCGCGCUGCAUUAGCUAGUUGGUAAGGUAACGGCUUACCAAGGCAACGAUGCAUAGCCGACCUGAGAGGGUGACCGGCCACACUGGAACUGAGACACGGUCCAGACUCCUACGGGAGGCAGCAGUAGGGAAUCUUGCGCAAUGGGCGAAAGCCUGACGGAGCAACGCCGCGUGAGUGAUGAAGGUCUUCGGAUCGUAAAACUCUUUUAUUGGGGAAGAAAAUAUGUGUAAGAAACUGUCCACAUCUUGACGGUACCUAAUCAAAAAGCACCGGCUAACUACGUG